rnacentral:rRNA from 1 species
CGUGCCAGCAGCCGCGGUAAUACGGAGGAUACGAGCGUUAUCCGGAAUUAUUGGGUUUAAAGGGUGCGUAGGUGGCGUAUUAAGUCAGUGGUGAAAAGCUGCAGCUCAACUGUAGUCUUGCCGUUGAAACUGAUAUGCUAGAGAGGAGACGAGGUAUGCGGAAUGUGUGGUGUAGCGGUGAAAUGCAUAGAUAUCACACAGAACGCCGAUUGCGAAGGCAGCGUACCAGGCUCCGUCUGACACUGAAGCACGAAAGCGUGGGGAUCAAACAGGAUUAGAUACCCUGGUAGUCCACGCAGUAAACGAUGAAUACUAGAUUUUUGCGAUAUACUGUAAGAGUCUAAGCGAAAGCGAUAAGUAUUCCACCUGGGGAGUACGCCGGCAACGGUGAAACUCAAAGGAAUUGACGGGGGCCCGCACAAGCGGAGGAACAUGUGGUUUAAUUCGAUGAUACGCGAGGAACCUUACCCGGGAUUGAA